rnacentral:tRNA from 1 species
UCCCGGAUGGCGUAACCGGCAACGCGCCGCGCUUUGGACGCGGAGACCGAAGGUCCGAACCCUUCUCCGGGAA